rnacentral:rRNA from 1 species
GGGGAAUUUUCCGCAAUGGGCGAAAGCCUGACGGAGCAAUACCGCGUGAGGGAGGAAGGCUCUUGGGUUGUAAACCUCUUUUCUCAGGGAAUAAGCAAGUGAAGGUACCUGAGGAAUCAGCAUCGGCUAACUCCGUGCCAGCAGCCGCGGUAAUACGGAGGAUGCAAGCGUUAUCCGGAAUGAUUGGGCGUAAAGCGUCCGUAGGUGGCUGUGUGUGUCUAUUGUUAAAGAGUUUGGCUCAACCAAAUAAGGGCGGUAGAAACUACACAGCUAGAGUGCGUUCGGGGCAGAGGGAAUUCCUGGUGUAGCGGUGAAAUGCGUAGAGAUCAGGAAGAACACCGGUGGCGAAAGCGCUGCUGCUAGGCCGCAACUGACACUGAGGGACGAAAGCUAGGGGAGCGAAUGGGAUUAGAUACCCCAGUAGUCAA